UACAGGGGGUGCAAACGUUGCUCGGAAUCAUUGGGCGUAAAGCGCACGUAGGCGGUUCGUUAUGUCGGAUGUGAAAGCCCUUGGCUUAACCGAGGAAGUGCAUCCGAAACUGGCGAGCUAGAGUACGAAAGAGGAUCGCGGAAUUCCCGGUGUAGAGGUGAAAUUCGUAGAUAUCGGGGAGGAACACCGGGUGGCGAAGGCGGCGAUCUGGGUCGAUACUGACGCUGAGGUGCGAAAGCGUGGGGAGCAAACAGG
rnacentral:rRNA from 1 species